UCGAGAAUCUUCCGCAAUGGGCGAAAGCCUGACGGAGCAAUGCCGCGUGUGGGAUGAAGGCCUUCGGGUUGUAAACCGCUGUCAGUAGGGAGGAAAUUUUGACCGAUCUACAGAGGAAGUCCGGGCUAAGUACGUGCCAGCAGCCGCGGUAAUACGUACCGGACGAACGUUAUUCGGAAUCACUGGGCUUAAAGAGUGCGUAGGCGGCUUAGUAGGUGAGAUGUGAAAUCCCACGGCUCAACCGUGGAACUGCGUUUCAAACCACUAGGCUUGAGGGAGACAGGGGUGAGCGGAACUGAUGGUGGAGCGGUGAAAUGCGUUGAUAUCAUCAGGAACACCGGUGGCGAAGGCGGCUCACUGGGUCUCUUCUGACGCUGAGGCACGAAAGCUAGGGUAGCGAACGGGAUUAGAUACCCCCGUAGUCC
rnacentral:rRNA from 1 species